GUCGGCUCAUUUGCUUUUUAGCCGAAUCUCAGCUGGGCUCCACUCGGCUGUUAUCAGCCCAAUAAGCGGCUUGACGGCUUCUUCAAAGUUCAAAUCAAAAUCGCGGCUCACUUCUCUAUAGACAAGAAUUUGUUUGCCUUUUCUUUCCAUUUCUCUGCAGUUUUUUUUCAAGGAUUGCCAGUUUUUGUUUGUUGUUUCUCUGAGUCAGUCCAGCUUUCUCUUCCAUUGUAACCCACAGUUUUUCAAAUUCCAGCACUGCAAAGAAUCGAAAGUAGCGCUGCUGCUGCUUCUUCUUCUUCU
rnacentral:misc_RNA from 1 species